rnacentral:lncRNA from 1 species
GUCGCAGAGGGCCUACCAUAUAUCUGCCUACAUCCAGUGAUCCAUAAAGGACCUCCAGUUCAAUGGUGACUAAGAAUCGAUGUGCUGGAUGGUGGAUUGCCUGAGCCUACAGAGGCCAUCUCAGAACCUCCAUAUGGCCACCUCCUCAAAGGUCCGACAGUCAGUCUCCUUGCCUUGGGGAGUCUCGAAUCAGUAGUACUCUUGCAAGAUAGAAGAAAGUA